AGUGUGUGUGUGUGUGUGUGUGUGUGUGACGGGGGUGUGGGUGUGUGGGUGUUUGAGGGUUUGUUGCGGGAAGGAGCCUGGGGCUGUUCCUUCGUGGUACCUGAUGCCCCACAGUGGGCUAUGAGUAGUCACACCUAUCCCCUUGCGCGUUCUCAGCGGCCACACAGCACACCCACCGAGGCAACCCAGGGGUGAACAAUUGGACCCUUCUUCACUCUCAUAAUUGUCCCGUAGUGUCUGUCUGUGUCCACGCAUCUCGAUUUGUCUUUAGAAGUGAUGCCUUGAUACAGAGUUUCGUGGAGGCAGUUUAGACACUCUCUUUAGGUGUCAGCUGCCUUUUCGAAUAUCUACGCUUUGUUGAUGCAGUUGGAGCCUUGUUUGGGAAAGGAGAGAGUCCCGAGACACUGGACGUGAUGUCUGAAGGAGGGAGGUAGACAGGACGGAAGGGAGGCCCUCGGAGGACCAGGCAGCGACCCAUGGAGCAGAGAAGGGCCCACCCAGUCCCCCUCAGCCAAACGCUACUAACAGCACAAACGUCCUCCACCAUGGUCAAGCGGCAUUUAUCGCUGGGAUGGGAGGAUGGUUCGGUCAGUAAAUGACAGGCACCACAUUCAUAGGAUGAAAAGGGCAAGACUGGAACCUCACCAGGAUGGUUGGCAUCUGAAACUAGGAACCAUGAGAUCCUGAGAAGCUCUUGACAAUCCCUCCCUUUUGUGGGAGCUGUUUUCCUCUUGGCCUCCACAACCUGAGCACACAAACACACAAACACACACACACACACACACACACACACACACACAAACCUUGACCUUGGAUGCAAAAAUGGCCUCUAAGGUGGGAUCCUAAGAGAAGCAGACACAGGGCAAGUGGCAAGAGGAAGAAACACGAGGUAGGAGGCAUUGCCUGCCAGUGACACACGCCUCCAGUUUGAGAGGUGUUGUCCUCUAAGGUAGGACACAUGCCAGAGGACAUCUCUAGCAAGUCCACGCUCCAGUCCUCCCCAGUGUGCGGACAGGAGGCCGACAGGCCCUGAGAGACACAACAGCUUAUGCAGGAUGCAGAACAGGCAAGAAAGAGGAGUUGUUUCUGCCUCAGUCUCAAAGCUGGGACCUUGGCUGCACCCAGACCCUCCACACACACACACACACCCACACACUGUGUCAUUAGAUGUAAGGAAGCACUAUGUGGUGGUUUCGAAAGAAAAUAGUCAUAGUUGAAGCGGCAAGAGGAAGACAAACGAGGACGCUAACCUGUUUUGAUGACAUCAAGGCUCAUCCUUGCCUCCUGCCUUCUUUUUGUGUUUGGGCAAUGGGAAGCAUUGUCAAGAACUGAAUGGAGAAAGAGGAGUUCUCUCCAUUCUAACCCUGGCUCCACCUCCACAAGGCUGACUCCCUCCAGCUGGCUGCAUCUGCAGCAGAAUAUCUCACCACCUUUCGUGGUCCUCUCCAUUUCUGGGUCCUGGUAAGAAAAUAUUCAAAGACCAAUGGACUUCUGCCAAGAAAACAGCUUGAAAGGAUUCCUGCCAGCCAAUUUAUUACAAUGUGAGCUCCGCAAAGAUUCUUAAAGACCAAAUAAGUAAAAUUCAUGAACCCAUAAUGAUUGACCAAUUCAUAGAACUUCCAGUUUUGCAAGUAUUGUGCUUAUCCCUAAGACUGUGAAGAGCUCCACAACGUAGUGUCUUCAUUAAAACACAAAAAUAAUUUUUAAGUGAAAGUACAUGACUGCAUGAAAUAUACAUUAAGCAUCAGAUUUCGAAAGUGAAGAUUUUUAUUGUGUUUUUAUGGAUUUUGGAAGCUGAUCCUUCUUGCUCAGUUUGCUCUUUGAUAAUUAAUAGACAGAAAUCCUAAGGACCAAUGAAGAAUUCAGAUGUUUAGGACUAAAUCUCUAUCUUUUCACCAGCUCUAAUACUCCCUCAGCUGUAGACAUAAUGAUGUGGUGAGAAGUGAGGCGGAGUGCGGAUUUUGAGACUGUGGCUCCAGGGUUAGACAAGAUUAAAUAACCUAUUUCAUAAGUCAAAUUUGAGGACAUUUAUUAAGUGCUUGAAGCAAUCCAGAAGCAUGUCAUAUCCUGUAUACAGGUGUCCAGUUUUGUUUAUUUUAAUUUAUUUCUAUAGAAAACAUGGACCACACCUAAACACAGGUAAUGGAUAUCAUUAAGUUUCAUGUUUGUAAAAAUGAUACUAUCUUAAAAAGCUAUUGAAAAAUUUGUAUAAUCUGGAUUUUAAAAAUUUGAUAAUUUUGAAUAGGAAAGCCUAAAGAAAUAAGCUUGUAUUUAUUGCAGAAUGUUUAAAAUAAGCAGACACAGGAGAAUAUCCAAUACUUGUCUCAAAAAUCUUUGUGUAUUUAUAUCAUUGCCUUGUUUUUUUGAAUGAAAUUAUUAAUUAUUCUGUGAGGGCACCAUUGUGUGGGUAAUAAAAGUAGCAUUCUAAUUUUUUAAAUAUGUAAAAUUUCUAUUGAUAUUUUAACAAGCAAGUAGGCUCAUGUUCUAGUUCAUAAGUGCUCCUGUUUCUUCAUAAAGCUAUUAAUUGCCAUAAAAGCUUUUGGUAACUUGGGAAAUCCUUGGACAAAUGACAUGAAAACUAGUGAUGAAUAUAGCUGAACUGGGUGUAGAUUAACACAGCCAAUGCACAAGUUAGACCCAAUAUUUUAUUUUGAGAAUAGUAUCGCCUCUCGAUAGAAGUUUGUUCCCAAAUUUCUGCCUCCAUAAAAGAAAACUUAGUCAAAUUAUUGUUCCCGAGAAUAAUUGCAAGCAUAUGGUUGUACUCAGGGGUGCAACAAUCACUUAGGACUCCUUUAUACUUAUCAUGCCAUGGAAGGCACAUUUGCAACCAUCUGUGCCAUGUACUUUUGCAUAUCUUUGAGUGAGAAAGAUAUACUCUUUUUGUACACUGUGCUAUUCCAGUGUCACAUGGAACAAGUGUCUCAGCAGUACUGCAGCUGGAUGCUUUUUUUAAAAAAAAAUUAAUGCAUCCAGUUUAUUUAUGUAUUUAAGAGGAUAAGAACACAGCAAAUUUUUAAGCGCACAAAGAAGUAUUGUUAACUGUAACUCAGCUCUUCUCAUCUCUUUCUGUCAAGAGGUAUUAUUAUUUGAUACGCUAUUGCUUAGGAUUCGAAUCCUGCCUCUACUUCUAAUAAGCUAUGUAACAGUUAGCAUGUCAGUUGACAUUUCUGAGCUUCAGUUUAUUCAUCAUUAAAUUGUUGAUAAUAUUGCCUUUUACUCUCACCUGCUAGUAAGCAUAAUAUCAGAAGAAAUGUCACUCAUAUGAUUAGAUAGUAAACACUGGAAUUCUAUGAAUAUAUAAAAUCUCAAUAUUAAUUCAAAUUCUUCUGUAUGAAGCACAUAUCUGUAGAAAAAUCCUCUGAAACAGUGAACAAUAAGAUAUUUAACUUUAUAUCAAUAUUAUUUCUCUUAAAAUAGAAUAAAAAUAUAGAAAAAUACCAAGAAUUACUGGUUUUCUUCAUUUGGUUGUUAAAAUUUUCUAGAAAAUUUAAAAAUACCUCUUAGCUAGACUCACAGACUCUU
ensembl:lncRNA